rnacentral:rRNA from 1 species
UGAGAGUGGCGCACGGGUGAGUAACACAUGGCUGACCUGCCCUGCAGACGAGGACAACCGGUGGAAACGCUGGCUAAUACUCGAUACGCUCGGGGGAGUUAGAGACCCCUGAAGAAAGUGAUUAGCGCUGCAGGAGGGGGCUGUGGCCCAUCAGCUAGUUGGUAGGGUAACGGCCUACCAAGGCGAGGACGGGUAGGGGGCCUGAGAGGGUGACCCCCCACACGGGUACUGAGACACGGACCCG